rnacentral:rRNA from 1 species
CGGCGGACGGGUGAGUAACACGUGGAUAACCUACCUAUAAGACUGGGAUAACUUCGGGAAACCGGAGCUAAUACCGGAUAAUAUAUUGAACCGCAUGGUUCAAUAGUGAAAGACGGUUUUGCUGUCACUUAUAGAUGGAUCCGCGCCGCAUUAGCUAGUUGGUAAGGUAACGGCUUACCAAGGCAACGAUGCGUAGCCGACCUGAGAGGGUGAUCGGCCACACNGGAACUGAGACACGGUCCAGACUCCUACGGGAGGCAGCAGUG